AAUGCGGAAUUUUCGAAAGUGAAAAAUAAUUGUAUGGGGGUAUUUAUCGAAGGUAAAUGACCCUUCAUAAGUUUUUUCGGACGCAGUUCUUAAUAAGGGGCCAAGUCUGCCAGCCCAGCCACCAGGACAAUGCCAGUGGCCACACCAUACUAUACCAUGCUGUGACAGGGACAGUACAGGAUGACCUCUGACAGGGUCCUGAUCCUGGCCACUGUGACAGCAGUGAAGGACUGCGUGCUGUGCUACCCAAGCUGUUCACUGUGCAAUAAAAGAUUGUUGACAAGUUUUCAAAGUCAAAAGUUAUGGUGCAGUAAGUGUUGUACUAGC